GACGAACGCUGGCGGCGUGCUUAACACAUGCAAGUCGAACGGAAAGGCCCUGCUUUUGUGGGGUGCUCGAGUGGCGAACGGGUGAGUAACACGUGAGUAACCUGCCCUUGACUUUGGGAUAACUUCAGGAAACUGGGGCUAAUACCGGAUAGGAGCUCCUGCUGCAUGGUGGGGGUUGGAAAGUUUCGGCGGUUGGGGAUGGACUCGCGGCUUAUCAGCUUGUUGGUGGGGUAGUGGCUUACCAAGGCCUUGACGGGUAGCCGGCCUGAGAGGGUGACCGGCCACAUUGGGAUUGAGAUACGGCCCAGACUCCUACGGGAGGCAGCAGUGGGGAAUAUUGCACAAUGGGCGGAAGCCUGAUGCAGCAACGCCGCGUGCGGGAUGACGGCCUUCGGGUUGUAAACCGCUUUCGCCUGUGACGAAGCGUGAGUGACGGUAAUGGGUAAAGAAGCACCGGCUAACUACGUG
rnacentral:rRNA from 1 species